UACGUAGGGGGCAAGCGUUGUCCGGAAUGACUGGGCGUAAAGGGAGUGUAGGUGGCAUAAUAAGUUAUAUGUGAAAGCCCGCAGCUUAACUGCGGAACUGCAUAUAAAACUGUUAGGCUGGAGUGCAGGAGAGGUAAGCGGAAUUCCUAGUGUAGCGGUGGAAUGCGUAGAUAUUAGGAAGAACACCAGAGGCGAAGGCGGCUUACUGGACUGUAACUGACAUUGAGGCUCGAAAGCGUGGGGAGCAAACAGG
rnacentral:rRNA from 1 species